rnacentral:rRNA from 1 species
UACGAAGGGGGCUAGCGUUGUUCGGAAUUACUGGGCGUAAAGCGCACGUAGGCGGAUACUUAAGUCAGGGGUGAAAUCCCGGGGCUCAACCUGGGAAUUGCAUUUGAGACUGCGUAGCUAGGGUGCGGAAGAGGGAAGCGGAAUUUCCGGUGUAGCGGUGAAAUGCGUAGAUAUCGGAAGGAACACCAGUGGCGAAAGCGGCUUCCUGGUCCAGCACCGACGUUCAGGCACGAAAGCGUGGGGAGCAAACAGG